rnacentral:lncRNA from 1 species
ACUUUUGUUGGUUAAAGUCACUUUCUGUGCCCCUCUGAGCAAGGAUAAAAGCACCCUCUUCCUCCCAUUUCUCCCUCUCAUCUUCAAAUCAUAGCUUCAAUUCUAAUACUGUUAAUAAAACCAGCCAUGGUCACUAGAAUUAAGACCUCUCACUUAAUCUUCCUUCUCUUUCUGUGCCUAUCUUCAGGUAAUAAAAGUCUAGGAACAGUCUCAGUGUUCAUUUCAAAGUAUGUCACUAGCUUAUCAAAGCGUACCAUUUAACAAGUGUUUACAUUUUUCUCUAGGCAUGAUCGAAGGAGUGAGCAAUGGCAUGAACCCCGCUAGUAUGCUCCACGAGGUAAACCUUAAACCACAUGCAGAAACUAGGAACUGACUCGACUAUAUGAUUUGAAUGUAUACGAGUGCACUACACGGCAUGAUACAGUAUAUUACGUUCAAGUAGAUAGAUAGGAACAAAAGAUUAAGCUUUUAUACUUCUUACGUUCGCCACUGGUUAUUAUGCAGAAAAAUACUAACUUAGCUCAUGUUUUGUGAAGGGCCGUGACAAAAUGAGUUCAAGGAAGCUUCUAAGUCAUGAUGUCGUGCUAGACUACGAAGAUCCAGGAGCAAAUCCUAAACAUGAUCCAAGGGGGAAGAAAGGAGGAGGCGGCAGGAACAAAUGAUUGCAAAUAACUCCUAGUUUCGAGCAUCAGGCUGUCAAAGCAAAUACUCCAGAGGAAUUUGNAGAUCACAGGAUAAUAAGCGGCAUAUUCUAAUAUCCCUACAGUAUCACAGCAUCCUUUCGUUUGAGGGUCUGAGGUGUUAAAUUAUACUAUGAUUGUAAAAUCCUUCUAUAAGGGUACAAUAAGACCAUAAAGGUUCUUUCACGUCUUAGGUACUUUCAACACUCUCAUCCGAUUUUCCUCACACAUCAAGGCUAAUAGUUUUGUUGUCUCUCUAUUUAAGAUCUUUUAUAUAAUAAAAUUUAUUCACUAAUGAAUUUAUCUAGACGACAAAUCUAAAUGAUAAACAGGUUACCCCANNN